CGUGUGUGCGUGUGUGCGUGUGUGUGUGUGUGUGUGUGUGUGUGUAUCCCAGCAUCCCCUGGCAGGCACACGCCGGCCAGCCACCACU
rnacentral:pre_miRNA from 1 species